rnacentral:rRNA from 1 species
UACGUAGGGGGCUAGCGUUGUCCGGAAUCAUUGGGCGUAAAGCGCGCGUAGGCGGCCAGAUAAGUCCGGUGUGAAAGUCACAGGCUCAACCUGUGAAUGCCGCUGGAAACUGUCUGGCUUGAGUCCGGAAGGGGCGAGUGGAAUUCCUGGUGUAGCGGUGAAAUGCGCAGAUAUCAGGAAGAACACCCGUGGCGAAGGCGGCUCUCUGGGACGGUACUGACGCUGAGACGCGAAAGCGUGGGGAGCGAACAGG